CCAAUACGGGGUGGCCUCUAUGCUUCCGUUCGCGUGGUGGCCAUGUGGCUGGUCGAGGGAACACAGGUGAGGCGGACUGUCACCUAUUUGUCGAUCUGUGCCCACCUCCUAUUCUUCCUCUCCCCAUCGAACAUCACGUCCGUAGUUACUGCCACACAUGGCGCUCUCCUCUCCUGCAGUGACCCUGUUGUGCCCCUUCACACAUCGGACCACCGUGGCGCGGAAGUACCUGGAGAAGAUCACGCUCCGCUUAGCAAAUUCGGGUGUUUUCAGUCGGCUACCCAGCAAGGUAAUUUUUUCCAGAAGUUCUUUCAUGGAACUUGGGUGGAAUGGAUUCGUGGGUGUGCUAGGUGGAGUGCCAUUAGAUUGCCAUGUUAAUGGUCAGAAUAUCCUCUCCUGCACACACGAACUUGGGUUUGCCAAGGAAAUAGGUCAAUACUACUAUCAUUUGGCUUUGCAAUGGUCACUUACAUAGUUCUGUUUUUUCAAAUCAUGAUGGUUUAGUUUGUUUGUUACCAGCUGCUUAAAUUAGGACUAACAGUCGAGAGUUGUCGAUUGGAUUGAAUUUGGAAGAGGACAAUAUAAUUUUGUUAUAGUUUGUGGUUCAGUUAGCUUUGAAAAAAUGUUUAGGUGAUGAAUAAUACACAAUGAAUUGCUUUCUGUUGCCCAGUGUACUACAAUUUAAUAUGCAGAAUGUGAGCUUAAACUUUUUGCCGAGAAAAUGUCUGCAAAACUGCUAAUUCCCAGGAGUAAUUCAUUCCCCGUCCAAGUAUUUAUUAUUAAUUGAUGCUUCAUCCGUUUAUGCUGCAGAGUCAUGGUCACAUGGAUGAUUAGCAUCUUUUGGCAAAAGCAUGUUAAUUCACUGAAUAAAUACUAUUGCACCUAUGACUAUGAGCGAAGAUGUCCACUCAUGAUUUUUGAGGACCACUUGAGGAUGUGAUCAGUAGUGCGGCUUCAAAGCUGCUUGAUAUGACAUAGCGUUUGAUUUUUACAAAUCUGAAAGUCGAGCCUAAGCAAUGUUACGGUUCAGAUCUAAACCUUAUAGUUGCUGAUUAUUUGUUGUGCGUUACUAAUCUGACCGGCCAUCAAUCUCCACCUUAACCUUUUUUUAUCUUUCUUAUUAGCUCCACGUCUCUAGCGUCUAUAGAGUCCUAACCCAAGAAUCUCUCCUGCCGCCUUGAGUCCAAACCCUCGGCAAGAGUCUCCCCUGCAUCCUCCUCUUCUCCGUGCCGUCUAUGCCCCCUUCUUUUGCUUCUCGGGUCGCUAUUGUGACGCGUCCGUCGUCUUUUUCAUGAGCAGCUAGAUGAUUUCAGUCUGAGAUUACAUCCUCCUAUAGAGAAUCUUACCCUUUCCAUGCUGUCACUGUAGCCAGGUCUAGCAAACUGGUCGUCCCUAUGGUGUUUAGGCUUUCCCUAGGUGGACGAUCUGGUCUUUUUUAUGCGAUGUCCAAAGAGUUGCUCGCUGCAAUGAUCAAUGGCUGCAAAGCAGCAUCUUAUCCGAUUACAGUUGUUUUAAGUAGCUAACAAUGGCUGCAAAGCAGCAUCUUAUCUAUUAGUUUUUCACCAUCCGAUUAAUACUCUGUAGUUCAUUAUGUUCACAUGACAAAGGAAUUUGAAGUUAAUAAAAAAAUCUGACAGUUACUCCAUGCAAUUAGUUGUAAUUAGAGGACACUGGGAAAUAAGGUUUCAAUCAGUACACUGCUAUUGUAUGUGAAUAGUUAUAUAUGAAGGGAGAAUAAGCCACGGCUGACGAGCCGGGCGUGUCGAGUGCGGGUAUGGGCGCGCACUGGGCUCGCUGGGCGCGUCGGGUCCGGGCAGUAGGGCGUGCGUGUGUGCGUGCGUUGGGUGCACGGGCGUGUCCGUGCACCAGGGUAGCGUGUAGGGGCCGUUGGCGAGCCACGCGGGUCGAUCAGGGUGCGUUGGGCUGAUGCUCACCGCGAGACGCGGCCGUGCGCUGGUAUGUAGCGUGCGCGGUCAGAGCAUGCAGAGCGCGGAGAUGAUCGCGGGCGAGUGGAGGCGUGGGUGCGUGCCCAGGGCGCCGGCUCGGGGCUAUAAAGCCGCCUGGUGACGUUGUAAUGGUUUGACACAGCCGAGUUCGUGCUCGAGGAAGAAAAGGGGGCGUUCGUGCGCCGGGAAAAACUCUGUGUCCACCGUUUCUCUGAAUCUCUCUGAACUUCUUCUUCUUCUCUCCGGUGAGCUAGCCACGGCAGCUCUGAGCGAGCAGAGCGAGAGGGAGAGGCGAGCUAGGGCUAGAGAGUGGAGGUUCCAACAAUUGGCAUCAGAGCCACGUGGAGGAGGGAGCUCGCCGGCGAUGUCCAUCGUGUCGUACGCCGGCGGAUCGGGCAGCACGGUGGCGCAUGCGGCGCUGGUGCUCACGGGCGACAACUACACCACCUGGGCCAUCAAGGUGGAGGCGGACCUUGAUGCCGCAGGGCUGUGGGAGGCGGUGGUGCCGCCGGAGGACGCGGCGUCGGCGGUGAUCGCCAAGAAAGACAAGCCGGCAAGGGCUUACCUGCUCCGGGCGCUCGCCGACGACCUUCUGCUGCAGGUGGUCGCGAAGAAAACCGCGGCGGAGAUAUGGAGCAGCCUGAAGGCGCGGUUCGUCGGAGCUGAUCGCGUGCGGGCGGCGCGACUGGGCACGUUGCGCGGGGAGUGGGAGCUCCUGCGCAUGGCAAGCGACGAGUCGCUGGACGCGUUCGCGGGGAAGAUCAGCGGGAUGGCGGCGCGUUUUGCAGGGCUCGGAGCGACGCUGGAGGAUACAACUAUGGUGAAGAAGCUGCUGGACUGUGUGCCCGAUCGUCUGUACGCGGCGGUCGCUGGCAUGGAGCAGUUCUGCAACCUGGAUGAGCUGCGGUUCGACGAUGCUCUGGGCGCCUGAAGGCGUUCGACGAGCGGCUGCGGCGGCGAGGACAGGCAGGCGGCGAGGGCGCGGAUGGGCAGCCGCUGUACACUGCAGCACAGUGGCGCGCGCGCGAGCGGCGUCGAGGCGGUGCCCGCGGAGAGGACGAUGACGACGGCGCGGCAAGCACGGCAUCAGGCAGCGGGGACAACCGUCGCGGCAAGUGCUACAAGUGCGGCGUCAGAGAGCACUUCAAGCGGGAGUGCCCCCUGCUGCGGAAGGAGCCGGCCGCGGGGCGUGCACUGCUGGUCGACGGCGACGUUGAGGACGCCGGGCUGCUCUGAGCCGCGGCUUAGGGCGUGAAUGAAGGGAGAAUAAGCCAUGGCUGACGAGCCGGGCGUGUCGAGUGCGGGUAUGGGCGCGCACUGGGCUCGCUAGGCGCGUCGGGUCCGGGCAAUAGGGCGUGCGUGUGUGCGUGCGUUGGGUGCACGGGCGUGUCCGUGCACCAGGGUAGCGUGUAGGGGCCGUUGGCGAGCCACGCGGAUCGAUCGGGGUGCGUUGGGCUGAUGCUCACCGCGAGACGCGGGCGUGCGCUGGUAUGUAGCGUGCGCGGUCAAAGCAUGCAGAGCGCGGAGAUGAUCGCGGGCGAGUGGAGGCGUGGGUGCGUGCCCAGGGCGCCGGCUCGGGGCUAUAAAGCCGCCUGGUGACGUUGUAAUGGUUUGACACAGUCGAGUUCGUGCUCGAGGAAGAAAAGGGGGCGUUCGUGCGCCGGGAAAAACUCUGUGUCCACCGUUUCUCUGAAUCUCUCUGAACUUCUUCUCUCCGGUGAGCUAGCCACGGCAGCUGUGAGCGAGCAGAGCGAGAGGGAGAGGCGAGCUAGGGCUAGAGAGUGGAGGUUCCAACAAUAUAAGUUGGUAUAUUUGAAGGAUGUGAAGACAAAAUCGUAGUAUUUACAACAGAAUCUUUGUUGCUUACAUAUUGAGCAUGAUCUCCAUGCAUGUGGUCUUUGUUUCUUAAGCUCCCAAACUAAGCUUAAGGUGCCAUAUGGAGAUGGAGAUGGCCACACACCGACAGGUUAGGGAUUUUGAGGUCCAUAGUGGCGAGUAUUUUGGGGAAAAAUUUAUGGUGCAAAUGAUAUGCUAAAGUUUAGAUGCAGAGUACCUGCUUUGAUCUGUAAGCUGCACACAGGGCAGAGGAUGCAAUUUGGUUUAGAAGAAGAAAACACAUUGACACCAUGGCUUAUAAUUCUUAGGAUAGUAUCAGAAAGUAUAUGCAAUAUGGUUUAGGUAACAAAAACACAGCAUUAUGUCUUCCGUUGGAAAAUUUGCCACUCCGGAGACAUAAACAGAAUUAUCACUUUCAUCUUAUUGCUGGUAUUUUCUUAAAGUAAGAAGAUAAAGAAGAGAUGGAUUUAUAUGAAGCAGGCUUGCCGCAACAGUCAAAAGAUGAUGUCUCAGUAUUUCACACUUAAAGCGAGGACAAGUGCUCAUAAAUGAUUAUAUGUAUCUACUUUAUUAAACUAGCAUAUUCACUAAUCCCCCGAAUCCAUGUACUAUAUAUUCUUCCUUAUUGCAUGACGUUCUUUUGCUAAUUGAUAAAUAUGUCCAUUUUCACUAUAAUUUCACAAUAUCUGCUAUGUACAGUGGCAUCAUUGAGCAUUCCUUUACUUUUCACAUUUCAGUUCAAUGUUCUGCACAGUGCACAGUAUAACACUACAUUGGAUGGCGCUAUUAAAUACUUCGAGGUCAUGUGACAGAGCACGGAAAAAGAACUAUCGAGGUAUGUUUUAUGCUCAUACUACGAUUUUGAGAUUCAGAUGCAGUUUUAUUUAGAACACAUUUUUAUCAUAAUAUUCAAUUCCAAUGCAUUUGGAAUGGGUCAAGUCAAUUGUAAGAGUUGAAUUAGCUACUUCGCCUUUGAGUCCUUUGUGGUUUAGUUGUAAUUUUUUAUUCAAUAAAUUCCUAAAUGCACCAUUUCUUAUGAGAAGGGUUUUAAAAAUCAAAAUCACAAUGUUGUAUAUAUGUUUCGUGCCUCUCACGUCAAUCCUAAGAGGGCACAGGUUGGGUUCAAUAUUUUUAUCGUCAGAUCUAACCAUGAUGAAGGCAGGCCCCUCCGAUUGAUAUUAGGAAGGUGGAAGGUUGACCAGCCGUCUCUUCCUCUCCGUCGUCUCUCCAUGGUGUGCAUGUUAAGAACUUAUGCAGCAGCGGACGCCAAUUUCAUGCAGCCGCCAGCAUCAACUUUUGUGGAGUCCUCUUCUAGGAUCUGAUACGAGUCCCUCCGACAUCAGAUAAG
rnacentral:lncRNA from 1 species